CUGCCAGUGUUAUUCAAUUUGGUAAAUCAGCCAAGCGAUCACCUGAGUCAACUCAAAUUGGGCAGUAUGGGAACGGCUUGAAAUCGGAAAAAAAAGCAGAUUAAAUCUAAAUGAAGAUACCAUGGUUCGGUAGACAGGAGCUCUAUGAACAUCUGCUCUAGUUCUUCAGUGGCAGAGAAGUCUGUCCAAAGCUGAUGAUAGUGUUUUGCCAUUAUGUUUGCAUGAUGCAGAGGAUACAGAUCAGAGCUGGGGAAAAAAAAUGAAAGCGCAGGAAACAAAACCUUAAUAUACCUGUGGCAGACAUAGUAAAAUUGGAGCAAAAUAGUGCUGCAGCCUCUCACUAGGAAAGUUGUCUGGUGCAAGUCAGAUGGACGUAAACCUUUUUUUUUUUUCUUAAAUCAAACAAAUGCAUGGAGAAGAAGGGGAAUGAUGGAAGGAAUGAGAGGAGGAGUGGGAUUAAGUGGCAGCGGAACAGAGUGGGAAGGAAAUCUUACAACCAGUAAGGUUACUUACUUAAGGAGGGGAUUUGCUAGGAAAGAGAAAGGUGUUUGCUUUGGUGAACUGAUGUCUUUGGGAAAGUUAGAGGGCUUGUAUGGCUUACUCUGAUCGGCUGUUCUGCUUUUUGCUGUUCCGUGUGGCUUGAUUAUUUAUAUGCAUCCUACUGGGGAAAUCUGUGGGACUCUGUAAUCUGGGGGGGGAAGAAAAAAAGGGGAUGUAAGGGAUCUUGAGAUACUAUUGAUCCAGCUGCAGUGCAGGACAGAUCCCAGAUCCUGCCUAUGCACUUUCAGAGCAGAUCUCUGUCCUGUUCUUAACCUUGAGCAAGAGGCAUGCUGUAUUACAGCUGAAAAAUGCAGACUGAAGCCUAAACAUGUGAAAGGUGAGCUUUGGUAUUGCAUUAAGCCAAUUUAAAGAGAACUGAACUGACAGAACACUAAUUCUUCUUUUGAUGCAAUGUUAAUUUUUCUCUGUUAAGGUUUUUUGGACGAGUUGGGUAACAGGGUAAAAGAGAAGAUGGGGAAGGCACUAUUGGGGAUAGGAGAGUGGGGAGGAAGAUGGGACUGUCCCUUUUCGUGACAACUAGCUGCUAAGUUGCAUUAGCUGAAGUGUCAGCGAGUCUUUCGAGUUAGACAUUAGGAAAUAAAUUGUCUCUCUC